rnacentral:rRNA from 1 species
AUGAACGCUGGCGGCGUGCCUCAUACCUGCAAGUCGCGCGAACAGACGAGGAGCUUGCUCCUCUGAUGUUAGCGGCGGACGGGUGAGUAACACGUGGAUAACCUACCUAUAAGACUGGGAUAACUUCGGGAAACCGGAGCUAAUACCGGAUAACAUGUUGAACCGCAUGGUUCAACAGUGAAAGACGGUCUUGCUGUCACUUAUAGAUGGAUCCGCGCCGCAUUAGCUAGUUGGUAAGGUAACGGCUUACCAAGGCAACGAUGCGUAGCCGACCUGAGAGGGUGAUCGGCCACACUGGAACUGAGACACGGUCCAGACUCCUACGGGAGGCAGCAGUAGGGAAUCUUCCGCAAUGGGCGAAAGCCUGACGGAGCAACGCCGCGUGAGUGAAGAAGGUCUUCGGAUCGUAAAACUCUGUUAUUAGGGAAGAACAAAUGUGUAAGUAACUAUGCACGUCUUGACGGUACCUAAUCAGAAAGCCACGGCUAACUACGUG